rnacentral:misc_RNA from 1 species
AAGACUAUAGACCUGCGGAGUACCUGCGGAAGGAUCAUUAUCGUAUUGUAACAAUUGGGGGGGCCACCGUGGGCUGUCGCUGACCCUUUGAAAGGGGGGUCGUGCACGCCCCCAUAGUGUCAUCCUCAUACAAUCCAACUCACCUCUGUGCAUCACCGCGUGGGUUCCUUUCUGGGUCGAGUCAGACUGGCUCAGAAAAAAGGGGCUUGCGUUUUCCAUACAAACACCCUUAUAAAUCCA